ensembl:ncRNA asRNA:CR45140 antisense RNA:CR45140
ACAGUUGCGUUUCCCACGCGAAGUCGACGGACGCGACGAACUCGCAAUAGUACCAGUAUCAAAACCACUAUAUAAAACAACCAUUAUAAUGGGAAACCAUAUAUCAAAGUAUAUGUUAACCAUGGUUAAAAGAUACUUUUUUCCAACGAGCCGUUUGGUCUAAAAGUUCGAGGUAUACUGCAUGCAUGUAUUUAGCUGUGGCAUGUGGAUACAAUUGUCAGUCGUUCUUAUCUAUAAAAAUGAAUCAAUUCCUUAUCGAAGCGCUACUGAGGAUGAGUCAUUUUAAACAAUUUAAAUUAUAUUGUUGUUAUACUAAAAUUGCUAACAUUAUAGCAAUUAUUAUAUUAUGGAUAAAAACUGGUAAAAUCCUGGCCAGAAAGGGACAACAGACUAUUCACUUGUUUCAGAUAAGAUACGGCCAUAUAAAUAAACAUACAUAAAUAGACAAUUACUUUGGCCCUUGCUGAUAAAUUACUCACUGGACAGAACGGCACCUUGGCGUCUGCUGGUGCAGCAAUAUCCGCAGCAACUCAUGAUGAGGAAGGGAAUGCACUGCCUAUUUAUCGGAUUUAUCCGCUUUUUGGCAGCACCCGUAUAAUUCACUUAAAUAUCAGUGAACUACUCUACCGGAAGGUCGUUAUUGAAGCCCGAUUGGAAUUAACUAUAUCUUAUCAGCGUUAAUCUGAAAGUAAUACAAUUUAUCAUGAUGAUAAUGGGUGCACGUUAUGCAGCACUGACUGCGCUGGCUAUGUUUAGUGAGCAGUCGAUGUAAAGCGGCGAUAGCUAGCGCACUCAACACAGCAAUCGAUAAUUCAAACAUAACAUCUGAUUUAAUUGUGUUUAAAACUUUAUUGCAAGGUAUAUAAUGGCUCAUAAUUUUAUUUAUUUGCGUUCCAAAUAUUUACUAAAUUGAGUUUGUUAUACUAAGCUUGUAUAUUUUGUAUAGAUAUUUUUUAAAACAUUACAAUUUAUCAUAAUGAUGACGUUAUGCAGCACUGACUGCUGAGUUUAGUGAGUAGUCGAUGCAAGCCAACGAUAGCUAUCGAACUCAACAAAGCAAUCGAUACUAUUGGAAUAGAAAAUAUAAGAAUUAAUUAAUUCAAA